AGUGAACGCUGGCGGUAGGCCUAACACAUGCAAGUCGAACGGCAGCACAGGAGAGCUUGCUCUCUGGGUGGCGAGUGGCGGACGGGUGAGGAAUACAUCGGAAUCUACUCUGUCGUGGGGGAUAACGUAGGGAAACUUACGCUAAUACCGCAUACGACCUACGGGUGAAAGCAGGGGAUCUUCGGACCUUGCGCGAUUGAAUGAGCCGAUGUCGGAUUAGCUAGUUGGGGGGGUAAAGGCCCACCAAGGCGACGAUCCGUAGCUGGUCUGGGAUGAUGAUCAGCACCACUGGAAAUUAGACACGGUCCAGACUCCUACGGGAGGCAGCAGUGGGGAAUAUUGGACAAUGGGCGCAAGCCUGAUCCAGCCAUACCGCGUGGGUGAAGAAGGCCUUCGGGUUGUAAAGCCCUUUUGUUGGGAAAGAAAUCCAGCUGGCUAGUACCCGGUUGGGAUGACGGUACCCAAAGAAUAAGCACCGGCUAACUUCGUGCCAGCAGCCGCCGUAA
rnacentral:rRNA from 1 species